rnacentral:rRNA from 1 species
GACGAACGCUGGCGGCGUGCUUAACACAUGCAAGUCGAACGGUAAGGCCCUUCGGGGUACACGAGUGGCGAACGGGUGAGUAACACGUGGGUGAUCUGCCCUGCACUUCGGGAUAAGCCUGGGAAACUGGGUCUAAUACCGGAUAGGACCACUGCCUGCAUGGGUGGUGGUGGAAAGCUUUUGCGGUGUGGGAUGGGCCCGCGGCCUAUCAGCUUGUUGGUGGGGUGAUGGCCUACCAAGGCGACGACGGGUAGCCGGCCUGAGAGGGUGACCGGCCAGACUGGGACUGGGAUACGGCCCAGACUCCUACGGGAGGCAGCAGUGGGGAAUAUUGCACAAUGGGCGCAAGCCUGAUGCAGCGACGCCGCGUGAGGGAUGACGGCCUUCGGGUUGUAGACCUCUUUCAGCACCGACGAAGCGCAAGUGACGGUAGGUGCAGAAGAAGGACCGGCCAACUACGUGCCAGCCGCCGCGGUAAGAC